UCUCUCAGUGCCAGUUGUGCUGUUGUUGGUUCUUGCCAGGCAAGGCUGCUGGCUUUUAACUAGUUAGUCUCAGAGACUUUCAGAGAUCUCCAUACUGCGGCUUUGAUGCAAAUAAUCUUCUCUUGUUUCCCCAUUCAGACCCUGGUAAUCUAACAGCGUCUCCACCUGAGCAGGUGAGUUGGAUUAGCCCAGUGAGGGAUUAUGUGUUUGGCUGCCUGGCUCCCUGACUGACUAUUUAUUUAUUCUAAUUGACAGCCAGAGGUGUAAAAAGUACUGAAAUGUUGUACUCAAGUAAAAGUACAAUUACUUUGAUGAAAUUUUACUUAAGUACAAGUAAAAUUACCCAUCUAAAAAUGUACUCAAGUAAAAGUAAAAAGUAGUUAAUUUAAAAUGUACUUUAAGUAAAAGUUACUUAGUUACUUUCAACAACUUGAUCGGGGCCGCUCCUAUAUAGUUCAAAAAAGGACAAGGGGUCAUAAAUCCAAUACAAAACUAGUUAUUUUUAAUUAAAGGAAAUCUUUAGAAAUAUAAGUGCAAUGACAUUAAACAUGUCAAACAUUAAACAUUAAACUGUCAACACAACAUUUAAGAACUUUUGGGAGGACAUGCCAAGACAUGAACACAUGACAGCUAAAAUAAAAAAGUUAAAAUGCCCGCUGCCCCACUAUAUUAAAACUUUGGUUACUUUACUUGUGUCCACCUUUAGAGCAUUAGUCUACAAACUUCUUGUUGAGUUUGAGCAGCAGCUGAUUUGCAAGGUGUGUAGAGUUCAUCCGGGCUCGCUUUGCAGUAAACGGCAAUCCAGCACAGCCGAAGAGUCACUCGCAGGCGGCCGAGGCAGGUUCAGGAUUCAAAGUCUCUGACCUAUUCAGCUCUGAGUUUCAAUGCCAAGAAGAAGAAGAGAAGGAGCAACUUCCAGACCGACAACCCACCCGUCAUAUAUGCUGCCACUAGAUAAACGGCCCAUGUACACAAAUGGCCACAAAUUAACAGCAGUGUAACAUCAACAGAACAAAGAUUCCACAAACUCACAUGCACACCUGUUUGUGUAAAACACACAUUUGUAGAUUGUUGCUUGAAUGUUAAAUAAAUAGGUCCUG
ensembl:lncRNA